GGAAAUUCUGUGUUUUGCUUCAUUAUUUGCUGUAUUUUAAAAAUAUAUAAAACAGAGGAGAGAACGGGAGCUGUUUCUUUGAAUCCUAAUACAGUAUGUCUUCUUAAUGAACCACUGCAGUGCCCAGAAAACAGCUCCCUGCAAAUAAACAUGCUGCAAGUGAUUUAGCCACAAUGUCCAGACUGUGUAAACAUCUAAUUAUUACAAUAAAAUUGUCAAUAAAUUUACAUUACUGCUCCCUUUUCAAACGUUAACCAACUUUUUCUUUGCUUGAUAAAAGGGCAUAAAUUGUAUUUUUAUGUGUUGGUGUUAUUGUUUUCAUUACACUUCUUGCUGCACUCUAGACAAAAGACCUCAAGCCUUAAUGCCCUGAGUUAUUCCUGGAUGAAGAAAACUCCUACAGUUGUUUAUUAACGUAAUGUGCUGUGCUUCCUUUCACAGUGAGAUGGACGCAGAGCCUUCGCAAGCUGAUCUUUAGUCACGGCAUUUUUUGCAAAAAGCUAUAAUAAGCCAAUGUUGUAGUCACUGCAGCUUUAAGAGAGACACAAAGAAUUAAGGUCCCUUAUAAUCCACCAUUAGAACGGGAAUUUAAGUUAAAUUAGAAGCAGAAGAUAAAAGGGCAAAAUGUAAUAAUUUCCUUUAGCAAAGAUUAUGUCCAGUUUUCGGAAUUAUGAUAUCAUGUUGAACAUAAUUGUGGAAUAAGCCCCCCCCAUGCACGUAUUUCUUAUAUAACUGGUACAUUAACAUUAGAAAAGCAGAGCGAUAUUGAAUUCUAAUGAGGUCUGGCCUAUAUGCUCUGCUAGGAGAAGAAUGAGGAUAAUUCAUUUGUAUUCUACAAAGCGCUCGGAAAUCCACGCGCAUCCCUGUGGCUUAGCGCGUGGUGCUGCUCAUCUGUUCCUCCUUGGAGGGGGGGAUUCAUGGCUUUGAACAGCAUCUGAGCUGGGGAAAAUAGUUAACCACUUUCCUGCUAGCAGUUGUUUCCUAAUGGCUAUUUAAUCUGGUUGGUCUACAUAUGCACUGGCUUUACCUGUUCUCCUGGAGGAUCAUAAAAAUCGAGAUGUCUGUGUCUAUAGAGGCAGUGCACCUCCUAAGAGCCAAACAAAGAAAACAGAGUGAAAUUCAG
rnacentral:lncRNA from 1 species